CAACCGGGGGCAUGUGCACGCUCUGUUUGCAUAUCCACUCACACCUGUGCACCCCUCCGUAGUUCUGCAGCCUGGGGGCUCUGUCCCCCCUGCUUGUGGUUCUAUGUAUUUACACACACACUGUAAUAAAGUCUCAUGGAAUGUACACCGCGUUUAACGCAAUACAAUACAACUUUCAGCAACGGAUCUCUUGGCUCUCGCAUCGAUGAAGAACGCAGCGAAAUGCGAUAAGUAAUGUGAAUUGCAGAAUUCAGUGAAUCAUCGAAUCUUUGAACGCACCUUGCGCCCUUUGGCUAUUCCGAAGGGCAUGCCUGUUUGAGUAUCAUGAACACCUCAACUCUCAUGGCUUGCCAUGAUGAGCUUGGACUUUGGGGGUUUUGCUGGCCUGCGGGUCGGCUCCUCUCAAACGAAUCAGCUUUCCAGUGUUUGGUGGCGUCACAGGUGUGAUAACUAUCUACGCUUGUGGUUUUCCACCAGGUAACCUCUAGUGAUGGAGGUUCACUGGGGCUCAUAAACGUCUCUCCUCAGCGAGGACAGCUCUUUGAACAUUUGAUCUCAAAUCAGGUAGGACUACCCGCUGAACUUAAGCAUAUCAU
rnacentral:rRNA from 1 species